rnacentral:rRNA from 1 species
AUUCCUUCUCCAGGAGCGUAUAUUAAAGUUGAUGCAGUUAAAAAGCUCGUAGUCUGAGGUUUGCGGGUGCCGGGGUGGUGUGCGUGAGCGCAGUGUCCUGGUGCGUGCAUUCCUGGGGCUGGGUGUCUGGUGCCCUUGAUUGGGUGCUUGGUGCCUGCCCUGCCUUUACUUUGAAAAAAUUAGAGUGUUCAAAGCAAGCGUGUUGCAUGAAUAGUUCAGCAUGGAAUAAUGGAAUAGGACCUUGGUCUUGUUUCGUUGGUUUCCAGGGCCGAGGUAAUGAUGAAUAGGGACAGUUGGGGGCAUUCGUAUUUAGUUGUCAGAGGUGAAAUUCUUGGAUUUACUACAGACGAACAUCUGCGAAAGCAUUUGCCAAGAAUGUUUUCAUUA